AGAGUUUGAUCAUGGCUCAGAGCGAACGCUGGCGGCAGGCUUAACACAUGCAAGUCGAGCGGGCGUAGCAAUACGUCAGCGGCAGACGGGUGAGUAACGCGUGGGAACAUACCUUUUGGUUCGGAACAACACAGGGAAACUUGUGCUAAUACCGGAUAAGCCCUUACGGGGAAAGAUUUAUCGCCGAAAGAUUGGCCCGCGUCUGAUUAGCUAGUUGGUGAGGUAAUGGCUCACCAAGGCGACGAUCAGUAGCUGGUCUGAGAGGAUGAUCAGCCACAUUGGGACUGAGACACGGCCCAAACUCCUACGGGAGGCAGCAGUGGGGAAUAUUGGACAAUGGGCGCAAGCCUGAUCCAGCCAUGCCGCGUGAGUGAUGAAGGCCCUAGGGUUGUAAAGCUCUUUUGUGCGGGAAGAUAAUGACGGUACCGCAAGAAUAAGCCCCGGCUAACUUCGUGCCAGCAGCCGCGGUAAUACGAAGGGGGCUAGCGUUGCUCGGAAUCACUGGGCGUAAAGGGUGCGUAGGCGGGUCUUUAAGUCAGAGGUGAAAUCCUGGAGCUCAACUCCAGAACUGCCUUUGAUACUGAGGAUCUUGAGUUCGGGAGAGGUGAGUGGAACUGCGAGUGUAGAGGUGAAAUUCGUAGAUAUUCGCAAGAACACCAGUGGCGAAGGCGGCUCACUGGCCCGAUACUGACGCUGAGGCACGAAAGCGUGGGGAGCAAACAGGAUUAGAUACCCUAGUAGUCC
rnacentral:rRNA from 1 species